UGACACCAGAAUGAACUCAGAAGGAA
rnacentral:piRNA from 1 species